GACGAACGCUGGCGGCGUGCUUAACACAUGCAAGUCGAACGGAAAGGCCCUGCUUUUGUGGGGUGCUCGAGUGGCGAACGGGUGAGUAACACGUGAGCAACCUGCCCUUGACUUUGGGAUAACUUCAGGAAACUGGGGCUAAUACCGGAUAGGAGCUCCUGCUGCAGGGUGGGGGUUGGAAAGUUUCGGCGGUUGGGGAUGGACUCGCGGCUUAUCAGCUUGUUGGUGGGGUAGUGGCUUACCAAGGCUUUGACGGGUAGCCGGCCUGAGAGGGUGACCGGCCACAUUGGGACUGAGAUACGGCCCAGACUCCUACGGGAGGCAGCAGUGGGGAAUAUUGCACAAUGGGCGGAAGCCUGAUGCAGCAACGCCGCGUGCGGGAUGACGGCCUUCGGGUUGUAAACCGCUUUCGCCUGUGACGAAGCGUGAGUGACGGUAAUGGGUAAAGAAGCACCGGCUAACUACGUGCCAGCAGCCGCGGUGAUACGUAGGGUGCGAGCGUUGUCCGGAUUUAUUGGGCGUAAAGGGCUCGUAGGUGGUUGAUCGCGUCGGAAGUGUAAUCUUGGGGCUUAACCCUGAGCGUGCUUUCGAUACGGGUUGACUUGAGGAAGGUAGGGGAGAAUGGAAUUCCUGGUGGAGCGGUGGAAUGCGCAGAUAUCAGGAGGAACACCAGUGGCGAAGGCGGUUCUCUGGGCCUUUCCUGACGCUGAGGAGCGAAAGCGUGGGGAGCGAACAGGCUUAGAUACCCUGGUAGUCCACGCUGUAAACGGUGGGUACUAGGUGUGGGGUCCAUUCCACGGGUUCCGUGCCGUAGCUAACGCUUUAGGUACCCCGCCUGGGGAGUACGGCCGCAAGGCUAAAACUCAAAGGAAUUGACGGGGCCCCGCACAAGCGGCGGAGCAUGCGGAUUAAUUCGAUGCAACGCGUAGAACCUUACCUGGGUUUGACAUGGAUCGGGAGCGCUCAGAGAUGGGUGUGCCUCUUUUGGGGUCGGUUCACAGGUGGUGCAUGGCUGUCGUCAGCUCGUGUCGUGAGAUGUUGGGUUAAGUCCCGCAACGAGCGCAACCCUUGUUCACUGUUGCCAGCACGUUAUGGUGGGGACUCAGUGGAGACCGCCGGGGUCAACUCGGAGGAAGGUGGGGAUGACGUCAAGUCAUCAUGCCCCUUAUGUCCAGGGCUUCACGCAUGCUACAAUGGCUGGUACAGAGAGUGGCGAGCCUGUGAGGGUGAGCGAAUCUCGGAAAGCCGGUCUCAGUUCGGAUUGGGGUCUGCAACUCGACCUCAUGAAGUCGGAGUCGCUAGUAAUCGCAGAUCAGCAACGCUGCGGUGAAUACGUUCCCGGG
rnacentral:rRNA from 1 species